rnacentral:rRNA from 1 species
CCUANGGGGGCAGCAGCUAAGAAUAUUCCGCAAUGGACGAAAGUCUGACGGAGCGACGCCGCGUGGAUGAUGAAGGCCGAAAGGUUGUAAAAUCCUUUUGUCGGGGAAGAAUAAGCAUGGGAGGGAAUGCCCGUGUGAUGACGUUAACCGGCGAAUAAGCCCCGGCUAACUACGUGCCAGCAGCCGCGGUAACACGUAGGGGGCAAGCGUUGUUCGGAAUUACUGGGCGUAAAGGGCAUGUAGGCGGUUUUAUAAGCCUGACGUGAAAGGCUAUGGCUCAACCAUGGCACUGCGUUGGGAACUGUGAGACUUGAAUCACGGAGGGGGAGCUGGAAUUCCAGGUGUAGGGGUGAAAUCUGUAGAUAUCUGGAAGAACACCAGUGGCGAAGGCGAGCUCCUGGCCGAUGAUUGACGCUGAGGUGCGAAAGUGUGGGGAUCAAACAGGAUUAGAUACCCGUNUANUC